rnacentral:tRNA from 1 species
CGGGGAAUGGCGCAGUUGGUAGCGCGCACGCAUGGGGUGCGUGAGGUCAGGAGUUCGAGUCUCCUUUCCCCGACCA